AUUGAACGCUCGCGGGAUGCUUUACACAUGCAAGUCGAACGGCAGCGCGGACUUCGGUCUGGCGGCGAGUGGCGAACGGGUGAGUAAUGUAUCGGAACGUGCCCAGUAGCGGGGGAUAACUACGCGAAAGCGUAGCUAAUACCGCAUACGCCCUACGGGGGAAAGCAGGGGAUCGUAAGACCUUGCACUAUUUGAGCGGUCGAUAUCGGAUUAGCUAGUUGGUGAGGUAACGGCUGACCAAGGCGGCGAUCCGUAGCUGGUUUGAGAGGACGACCAGCCACACUGGGACUGAGACACGGCCCAGAGUCCUGCGGGAGGCAGCAGUGGGGAAUUUUGGACAAUGGGGGCAACCCUGAUCCAGCCAGCCCGCGUGUGCGAUGAAGGCCUUCGGGUUGUAAAGCACUUUUGGCAGGAAAGAAACGUCGCGGGCUAAUACCCCGUGGAACUGACAGUACCUGCAGAAUAAGCACCGGCUAACUACGUG
rnacentral:rRNA from 1 species